rnacentral:lncRNA from 1 species
UUUCUUGAUUUCAUUAAUCAGAAGCCUAUUGUACGAUAGUUGGAAAAUCAUAUAAGAAUCAGGGUAACUCUAAGCAAUUUCCCUUUAUAGAUUCAGAGAUUGAGCUGCAUAAUCAACCCGUGUGUUAGUUUCUUGCUUCAUAAAUUUUCAAAGUCCAUAGAUUUUUCAAUCUUCCGUUAAUCAGUUUUGUAGAAAGCUGCAAUGAAGAUCAACCUCAUUUUUUUUCGGUGGUUUUGCUUUUUCCUUCUUAUGCGAUAGGAGCAAUACCGGAGGCCAAAUCAUGGGAUGAAUUUGAUGCCAUUAUGCAGAAAGGUGGAUCUUUUUGUUUGUUUCUAUGCGACAAUGCUGCGAAACAAUAUGAUAUAGACUUUAUGGAGGUAUCCUGCAAAAGUUUCCCAAAAGUAAAAUGCUACUAUGGAAUGGCAGAUCUCACAGCUAAACCAACUUCUUUCAAUGAUCAUUUCCAUAACGUAGGCACUCCUGCAGUAUAUUACUUCAAAGAUGGUAAACUGAUAAAAACCAUCGACCACCCAAGCGAUGUCGAUACAACUUAAGACGAAGUUGAUGCAGGAUUCAAAUUGUUGGGAUAAUAUUCCACAAGCGCUACACUGUAUCAUUGGAAACAAUAAUAUGAUUAUUCAAAAUUCCAGUAUGUGAGAGUUGUUUGUUUGUAAUACUAUUUAUUUCUUCUAUGAAUCUUCUGGUUUCGAACUUAAUCAUCAAUAAAUUGAGAGUUUUCGUUUCAAAAUCGGACAUCUGUGUUUUAAAACUUGGAAUUUGAGCUAUUUAAGGUUGUGCAUUCAAUAAUUUUUUUUUCAAAAAAUUUGUUUUUUCUCUUUCUAAUCUAUUGUACAGGUUCUUAGGACAUAAUCUAUGCAAUUGAAAUAUUUUUAUCAGCUUCUGUCACUUUUUUGAGGCAGAUAGUACUCAUACCCUACAAAAACUCCUGGUCAGAAAAAUUUGAGAAAAAUUUGCAAGUCUCCUCUUCAAUAUAGCAAAAAUUAUGUCAACUUUGUUUCUGAAAAUCUAAAAAAAAAAAAAAUUAUGCAUUUUAAACUUCUUUUUCACAUUCAAUGUUCUUUCUAUAGACUUCAAAUUCAUAGCAACUUGUAGCUCUGUUCUUCAUGAAUAAAGUUGAUGCUUAAACUUCUUUUAUACAUACAAUAAAAGCCGCUGGUAUGUGUACCUUCAAAGCACGGUUCUACGCCUGCUAUGCUCGGGCAGCAAGUGAAUAAUAGUACAGCUGGAGCGAUCUAGCGGAAUUAGUUUGUCCCUAGAGCUAAGCGCUCGACGUUAACACAUGAUCAUGAAAAAAUUAGCUCAUAAUGACUUCUGAAAAGGUAACAAUAAGAAAAAAAUGUACUCUAUUAUGUGCAGUACAACAAUCAGAUAAAAUAAUGCUUGUGGUGGAGAAUUCCUAAUAAAAACAAUAUAAACAUUUUUAUUACCCUAUUAUUAAAACCUUUGAAAUAUUUUAACAACUAGUUUCGACCUUAGGUCAUUUUCAUAGGUGGGAAAAUUCCUGUACUAACAGAUGUCCGUCUUGGAUCCUAGGCUACUCAAUUAUUGCAAUAAUUGCUUCAAUAUUCGAUCGAGAACCUACUUUGUAACCUACCCAUUUUGUUCUAGAAAAAUGUAUGAAGUUAGCAGAAUCUUAUUGACAGGUAGUUUCCGUAGGAAAAAUAUUUUGAUAAAAUCUACAACAUAUUUCGUUCUUCGAAUUCCAAGUAGUUUGCUCAAUAAAUGAUGAAUUUAUUAGGUGAUAAAAUGUUGUUGUUUAUCAAGUUACCAUGAUUCUUUUAGGGCCGGUUUACGAGCUCGGGACUCAGCUAAGUUCCAGGCUUCAAACAGCUGGAGUCAGAAAAUUGGCUUUUCGAAACGGGGCGUAGUCAUAGUCCACGUUUAAAUUGAAUUUCGGAAAACUAGAAAAUUGAACACAAAAUAUAAUAGACUAAAGAGAAAAUAGUGUGAAGUUUCAGCUAUUUUGAAUUUUUCAGGAAUAUUUCGUCCAGGAAAAACGUUUCCAGUAAUAGAAAUGAGAAAAUGAAGACUAUCAUGAAAACUUCGAAAAGCCAAUUUUCUGACUCCAGCUGUUUAAAGUCUAGAACUCAGCUAAAUCCUGAGCUCGGAAACCGACCCUUAUUGUCACUGCAAUGAAAUUGCUUACUCACUAAAUGAAAUUUUCUCACCAGAGUCCAACUAAGGAAAUUGUUAUUCUAAUAUCACAGUCUUUUCUCCUGAAUAAUCUUAAAUCCAAACCCAAAAAAUCAAUCAAUAAAAUAAGUACUUAAAUCCUACACAUGUCACAAUAGUAUGUACCUACAUUUCCAAGAUCUGAAUAGCACAAUGGAAACCAGCAGUUUUCAUUGCUGCAGCAAAAGAAUAUAGAAACAAUUAUUGCGAUAAAAAAUAAUUCAUGGAUGAUUAAGUUUGAAACAAGAGGUAAAAGAUUGCUGUACUCUGGAUCAUAUAGGGUUUUGUUUAAAAUAAUUUACUUUUCACUGUGUGGAGUGUUGAUUGAAUAAAUAAUGUUUUAUCCAAGUAUCAUUUUGUUUUG